CAGGCUGCAGUGCAGUGGCACAAUCUCGGCUCACUGCAACCUCCACCUCCGGGGUUCAAGCGAUUCUCCUGCCUCAGCCUCCCGAGUAGCUGGGAUUACAGGCACGUGCCACCAUGCCUAGGAAUUCUCCAUUCACAGAAAUUGUGGAAGAAUAUCAGCACUUGUCAUCUUUUUGAGGAUGAUUCAUCAAAAGGGUAUCUCCAGGCCAGGAAGCAACUCUAUGUCCAUCAGCCAGUGAAUGGAUAAACUGACACAACCACACAACUGAAUAGCACUCAGCAAUAAAGACGAACAAAUUACUGAUACAAGCAAUGACACGGAUGAAAUGGAAAUACAUUUUGCUAAAUGAAAGAAGCUAGACUCAACAGCCUGAAUACUAUGUAAGUCUAUUCAUACGGCAUUCUGGAAAAGGCAAAAUUACAGAGACAAAA